rnacentral:rRNA from 1 species
GAUGAACGCUGGCGGCGUGCCUAAUACAUGCAAGUCGAGCGAACAGACGAGGAGCUUGCUCCUCUGACGUUAGCGGCGGACGGGUGAGUAACACGUGGAUAACCUACCUAUAAGACUGGGAUAACUUCGGGAAACCGGAGCUAAUACCGGAUAAUAUAUUGAACCGCAUGGUUCAAUAGUGAAAGACGGUUUUGCUGUCACUUAUAGAUGGAUCCGCGCCGCAUUAGCUAGUUGGUAAGGUAACGGCUUACCAAGGCGACGAUGCGUAGCCGACCUGAGAGGGUGAUCGGCCACACUGGAACUGAGACACGGUCCAGACUACUACGGGAGGCAGCGGUAGGGAAUCUUCCGCAAUGGGCGAAAGCCUGACGGAGCAACGCCGCGUGAGUGAUGAAGGUCUUCGGAUCGUAAAACUCUGUUAUUAGGGAAGAACAAAUGUGUAAGUAACUAUGCACGUCUUGACGGUACCUAAUCAGAAAGCCACGGCUAACUACGUG